rnacentral:lncRNA from 1 species
ACAUCGCCUUUUUUCUUCAUCUUCAGCACACAGAGAAGAGACAGCUUUUGUAUGGCCGCCAGCUCGAGGACUUCUGGGAUCGUGGGAAUCGGCAAGCGAGUCGUUGACGAUCGGCGACGUCCACAGAUUUGAGCAGAGUUUUGUUGCCUCGAUAAUUUAAUGAACUACCAUUAGUUUCAUGGAAUUUUCCUGCUAUUAUCCGCUAG